rnacentral:rRNA from 1 species
AAGCCCCGCAAGGGGCAAGUAGAGUGGCAAACGGGUGAGUAACACGUGGGUGACCUGCCUUCGAGCGGGGGAUAACGUCCCGAAAGGGACGCUAAUACCGCAUGACAUCCUGCUCUUGGACGAGCGGAGAUCAAAGCUGGGGAUCGCAAGACCUGGCGCUUGAAGAGGGGCCCGCGUCUGAUUAGCUAGUUGGUGAGGUAACGGCUCACCAAGGCGACGAUCAGUAUCCGGCCUGAGAGGGCGGACGGACACACUGGGACUGAGACACGGCCCAGACUCCUACGGGAGGCAGCAGUGGGGAAUAUUGCGCAAUGGGCGAAAGCCUGACGCAGCAACGCCGCGUGAGUGAUGAAGGCCUUCGGG